CUCAGAGGAGCCCAUCUUAGGCAGCGUGCAGACGUGUCAGAGAUGCCAUAAACAAAUACUCAGUGACUUCACAGUUGAACGAGAGAAAGAGAAUGUGGGAUACCACAGGUUCACCCAGCGAAUCUGAGUAAACAUAUCGAAGGUGACAUGAAGGCGUAUUUACUUUAAAUAUUUUCCGGAGAGAUUUCUGUAGUUGGCCACCAUCGUCGAAUCUCAAGAUCGACCAGUCGCAGUUCAGGUUUCAAGAUGAAUCGACGUGACAUUGGUUUAGUGCUUCGUGAUAAAAUAAUUCAGAUGCGGGAUAAAGGAUACACAGUGCAAGCUAUCGCCGAUGAUUUACAUCUACAGUAAUGCGAUGGAUCAAACGUCAACAAGAAAGCAAAGAUUUAAGGGACCUAUGUAUGACCUGAAGAACAUCUAAGAAUGCAGAAGUGGCCAUGUGACCACCAAUGUCUUCAGCUGGAUAAACAUGGAAGGUGUUGGUGACAUCAUCAGAAACUGAUGAUGGCAACAGCCAGCGGACGUAGACAUAACAUCAGCACUUCGUGAUCAGUCUGUGCUAGGUGGCGACAUCUCAAAAGAUGCAAAACAAUGGAAGUUUCCUACACUGCAUGAAUAAAAAUCCUACCUAU